AAUAGCAGUCCGAUCGUGUGAACCUGAAAUGUCAGUAGAUAAGGCAGUCAUAGAGAAAAAGAAUGUUUGCUAUCAUCAAAAUCAUAAGCCAUAGAUCUGCAACAGUUAUAUGCAUCCCUUUUAGAGAAUCCUACAUUCUUUCUUCCUCCAAUUUCAUCAACUAGGUAUGUAAAUGCAUCAAUGGUUCUUAUCCAAGCUUCUGUCAUUGAUUUAAGAACAAAUACUCUCUCAUCUUUAAAACUCAUACAUGAUCUAAGCAAAUGUUGAUCUUCAGGCCUUGCUAAUUUGUGAUUGUGGCUCUCUAUGUAUUUCUACACUGUCCAUACUCCAUCUAGGUCGACUGAAAAUCUAAUCAUCACGGGACACCUUGUCCUAAACCCUAAAUCCAACUUUCGAAUAGACAAAAUCAUUCUUAUGUUUAUCGAAUUAGGCCAAUAAUAGUGAUGUUCUUUGUGAACACUAAAACUAAGAUUAUGACCAUAAUGAUAGUGCAUGUCAUAUGCUUCUUUCUCACUAUUACACAAGAAAAACUAAUUAAACACUUUGAUUUUAACAUUGGAAAUAAACACACCAAUUGUACCCACCGGUACACAACAUCGGUACCUAGCAAUACCGAGCAGUACCUAGGAGUACCUAUCGUUAGAAAACAACGACAUACAAGUGAGAUUAGACAACAAAAAAUCAUUGCAAGGAAAUUUAAUAAAAAUAAAGAGUGAAAUAUCAUAUUUACCGAUAAUAUAUCCGAAUUAUUUUCGGUAGUUUGCUGUAGAACUUCUUUCUUACUUUGAUGGGUCUCUUGCGUAAUGCCUUCCAUGUUCGCAUAAUAUUUGACAUCCUCAAGACCGGUUUCCAUCUUCAUAGCUUCCUCUCUAGACUUUCUCCUCUUUCUCAACUUUUAAAUAACGAGAAAACAUGUAUUAAAUGAGGUAAAUAUCCUGCGCCAUCUACGAAAACCCUGGGAAUUACCUCAUUUUUUUAAUUUUUUACGAAUAGGGCAAGUUGGGUCGUUGGGCCACGCUGUAAAAAAUCAUGGUAAUUAGAAUGGUGGGGUAAUGGUGGGAUCCACGUGGUGCGAUGUUAUAGGGUUCCAGACGUAGAGCUACGUCUAGACUCCACACCCAAUAAAAAUUCCAUAGAAGGACCCACUCGAAAGCUAUAAGGACUCAAGUGAACUGGACACAACUGCGGGUGCAAUUUGCUUAACUACACCAAAAUUCCAGCAGCAAGUUAUUAAUCUGCUUUAUAUGUGCCUUACUCUAGCUCUUGCAUCAUGCUCAACGAUGGAUAAUAUCUCUUGGCCGCCGACAUGUUGGAACCAUAUCUGCCUCGCUGGCGGUCGGCGAACUUGAACAACUCUCGGGCAUGUCGAAGCAACAAAGAAGAGUAUGACGGGCUCCCAAUUCGAAAGACUAUAGAGGCCGCCAACAUAGUUUCCACCAUCUCCGCCGCCACCUCGGAGGAUGGGUGUUCAAAAUCUAUCUUAUAUGCAUGGCGAGAGGUGGUCGUCCUCCAGCCGUUGCCAGUAGUAGUGAUCAAUUGAACCCUCAGCUACCUAAUUUGAGCAAAAGAAAGGGUAAAAUAAGAAUAUUGAGGGAAGAAAGAUAUUCAUUUAUCAAUUUCCAAAUUUAGUCAUCCUCGGGUUGUUUCCUUGGCAUAUUUUCAAUAAAUGUGUUAGCUUUAGCGGUAAGAAAUGGAUUGGAGUUUUGAUCAAGCUUGGUUGGUGUGAAACAAAUGUUUUCCCUACUUUAAACUCUAUGAUGGAAAGAAGAUUGCUUCAGCUUCAAUUUAAGGUUCAUGUAAGAAUUCAUUUUAAAGAUAGGGUCUUUCUCACUAGAGAUAGAUAAUUAUAGUUAUAAUUGAUAUAUCAGUAAAGAAUUAUCUUGAUCAGGCAUUAAUAUUGAGGCACAAACACCAAAUUCAACUCAAUCUGAGCCCCAAUAGGUCAUGAUCGAAGACUCAAUCUGAGCCCCACUAAAGAACAUAUUGUCUUUGACCAUAAUCGUAAUUUAGUUGUGCCAUUUGACUGCAAAACCAUUCGGUUCAGAGGGCCCCAGGUCAUAACUGUUUAUCAUGCGGUGUCAUUUGGUGAAAAAACCGUCGAUCAGAUGACACGUAACACAUCCUUACUGGUAAGAGAUUAUUUGAGCUGAAGGUGUAUGGAUUUUUUUCUUUAAGCGUUUGAAUGAUUGUUCAAUUUUAAACAUUUUUUAGAUUUUCGAAUUUUGAGUUUUUUGAGUUAUAUGGAAUAUUGCAUUCUUUAUAUGCGAGUGGCAUUUUGAAUUAUUUGAAAUUAACCCCUCCGUUUUGAGAUUUUCUGUCAACACGGCUAUCAUUGGGGUGAUGGGGGCUAUUUAAAAAUAUUUUCAUUUUGUGGAUUGAAACUUUGUGGAAGUUUGGAGGUAUUUAAAAUGCUUGGAGUUAACCCCUCCGGUUGGGGUCUAUAUUCAACACGGUCGUCAUCGGGGUGAUUGAGGUAAUUCAUGUUUCAUUCGUUGAAUCUUGUCGACUCGAUCUAUCAACUCGUUCACAGAAGAUCGGGUCUCUUAUUGACUUUAUGUCUUUGGAGAUGAACCGUUCAUUUUGUGGGCUCCGAAAUUUGGUCCCAGCCUCCCCCAUUUUGCUUUUUUUUUUGAGGAAGUUUUAACAUAUUAAGUUUAGGGUUUAGGAUAGGACACUACCCAGAUAUUUUGCCCUCAUUUUGUGAGGACUUUAUGAUAUGAGUUUUGGUUUCCGAUAGGCACAAGACCCUAUAGUUAAUUACCCCUCACUGUAACGAGAGAGAACUUUUGAUUAAAGCUACUCAUUGAGUGAUACAUUGUAUACAAAGAUACAUGAUAUCUGACAUAUAAUAUCAGUAUUGGGCUUUAGUUUGGAUGUUUGAAAAUUUUGAUAUUUAAAAUUGAAAUUUUCACCAUCUUACACUUAAAGCGGAUGGUGAGGGGAGUGAUGAUGAACCCGAUCAUGAUCACGUGGUUCCGUCAUCCCGCGCCAUCUUGGUCCUUGGUCUACUUUGUCAGAGGAGGUAAUCGACCUAACCUGACAAAAGGAUCUUUGUCGACAGCCAUGGGUUGUUUGGUCAAAGGGGGCCUUAUAGACCUGGUAAGAGUGUUUGUCUAAGAAGACAAAUUUGAAACCACCUUAUCUAACAGAGGGCUUUGUGACAUAUCGAUCAUAUCAUGUUGAUUCAUAUCUCAAGGAUUUGAUGCCACUAAGGAACAUAUUGGCUCUAAAAUUAACCAUAAUUUAGAGGUGCCAUUUGGCGGCAAAACCACUUGAUUCAAAGGGCCCCGGGUCAUAACCGUUUAUUUUGCGGUGUCAUUUGGUGGUAAAAUUGUCGAUCAGAGGAAACAUACCACGUCAUUGUUUGCAGGAGAUUAUUUAAAAAUGAAUCAUAGUGAUAUUUUCGACUAGACAUUAGCUCUAUGUGAGUUGAAGUAAAUUUUAAAUUGCCCACCCCGAAAAAAUGCUGCUGAGUGUGGAUGAAUUUUGUUUUAAGAGAUUAGAUGGUUGAAUUUUAAUUUUAAAUAUUUGAAAUUUCGGGAUUUUUAGAAUUUUUAUUAUUUUCACCAUCUUGUCGAUUUUUGCUUGUAUAUGGCAUGUAGUGUAUUUGACGGGGCUCCAACAAUAGUCUGUAGAUGCUUGCAUUUUCUAUAGUCAUUUGGUAUUUUGUUUGCGGAUAACAUCUUUAGCAUGUAGCAGGUUUCCUACAUGUCUUCUAUUGCUAGUGGACAAUGGUUUUCUUACAUUUGUGUCCAUGUAUGAUCUUCCAUGCUCACAACAUUCAGCUUUAAUCAUUUUUAAAUAGCUCGCAUUCGCUAUCGUCGCUCAUAUGUACACCAUUGUAUAUUCUCUACUCUUGUUGUAAGUAAUCCUUUACACUUGGUAUGAUCUUCUUUGCGUACGCUUGUGGGAAAUGUUACUUCCUUUGUUAGGAGCCCCUCAAAUGAAUUAAUAUAUUCUUUAAGAGGUUCUUCUUCGUUUCUUCUUUCAUGCUCGUCUCAUAAGCCUCAAGCUGACUAAAUGAACAUUAAAAGCUUUAUGUUUCUUGACUGUACGUUAUAGUGAGCUUUACAAUUCUUUCAGUAUCCUUGAGAAUGGAUUAUAGUUUGCAUGAUGAGUUUGCAUCGUUGACAUUCAUAUGUAAUCACACCCUCUAAAAUGAUCACCUCCGCUAUCGUCACUUGCAAGCGUUAGAUGUAUUUGCUUAACAAUGAAUUGUCAUUGAUUGUAGAAGUAUCCCCGUAGUCAUUACACACUGUUAUGAACAUGUCGGCAAGAAACUUUGUCAUUUGCAAGGAUUAUCAUACUUUCUCACACGACACAGAUUAUUAUUCGUUGCACCUCAAUCCCAUGUUAGUAAGGGAGGGACCGUUCUACUCACUUGGAUAAACAUUCAUACUUGCCACGGUACUAUUGCAAGUGGUAUGAACAAUUAUUGUGGGCUUCUAUGUUCAUAAUGCUCAUUAUAAAGAUGUUGUCAGAUCUCCAAACUUUGCUUACGAGCGUAUCACUGAACUAUUCACAGAUAAGUCAUUAUACGUGUUUGGAGCUCCAUCAUUUGUAUGCAUGGAGAGUUUUUUCUCUAAUCAUCAUGGCAUAUCUCGAUACCCAUUAGGAGUUUUUAUGUUAUUACUUGCAAGCUGAGACUUUAUUGAUUUUCUUCUUUUACAAAUAAAUUGCAUUUUUUUAUCUUAUUUAUUAUAAUUUUCUUAUAUCUGGUUCCAUGUAGUUUGUUGUUCAAGACCCUUAUAUCAAGUUCAAUUUAUAUGCCUUAUGCAUUCAUUCAAGUCCGUAAUGAGUCCAUUAUAGUUCAUCAAGUCCCAUGUAGUUCAGCAUUGAUUCAAGUCUUUGUGAUCGUUCAAGUUCAAUUUUCUUUGGUCAAAUUAAUUUUAAAUCUUUUGCUUGAACAUUCAAGUUUGAAAUUGGUUCAAUUAGUGUUAAAGUCAAUGCUCAAAUAAGCCCAAAACAAGUCUCAUGUCGUCCUUUUCAUUCAAAGCAAGUCCCCUGUUCUUUGUUCAUUUGAGUUCAAAUUUGGUCUUCAAUUUAUCCAAGUUCUUAGUUUAUCAAAAAUUUUGGCAGCCUUCCAGCGUCCUCCUUGUUUAAGGGAAAUUAUGGGAAACUAGGCCUCCCGUCAUGCUAGAGAAAAGCGUGUAUGAUAGGUGUCGUAUGAUACUACAGUCGUGAAAUCUUCAAUCCCGUCACGCCAUAAAAAGGUGUGUAUGGGCCUUCGGUACCUGUUUGAAAAGAGCACAGUUUGCUUUCCUCGCAGGUACAGAGUUGCGUAUGGGUACUUAUGAUUGUCCCCACCAUGCUACAAGAGCAUUUAUAUGGCCUACCCGCCUCACCGUAGGUGUCACACUGGGUCCUUUCUCAUCAUGCAUGAAAAAAAUGUGUAUUGGUAGUUUUUCGGCUUGAUAAGAACGCCGAUGAUAGGAUUUUGGGUUGAGAGCACUUAUUUGCUUCGUUGCAGGUGUCGUACCGGGUUUCCUCCAACCAUACUAAGAAAAGCGUGUAUACGUGGUUGAUCGGCUAUUCACAUGCGUUGAGAAGCGCUCGACAGGGAGAAAGUUACUUCACUGCACGCGAGCUCCCGUUGUUGCUUCUGAUCAAAUGUCGUAACUUUCGAUCCCACAUGAAGGGAAAGUCGUUGAAGGUGUGAAGUCGAACAAUAGUAGAGGAGCCAGAGAAGGGCACGAAAGGGAGGAGUUAUAAUCACUGCACGCGAGCUCUAGUUCCUGCUUCCGAUCAAAUAUCGUAACCUAUGAUCCCACAUGAAGGGAAAGUCGUUUAAGGCGUGAAGUUGAACAACAGUGGAGCCGAAGGAGCACGCGAGAGGGAGAUGGGAAAGAGUGAGGGAUUGUAAGCCUCACUCCUUCGGCAUUUAACGAGGAGCCAAUCAUGCGAAGUCGUGGGAGAUGCAACAUUGAGAUGUACAAGGUAUGGCAGAGAUGUGCGUACAACGUACAUCUAAGUUCGUGGCUGGACAUUCGAACAUGUACGUUAAAUGCCUCUUUUUUUUUCUUAGGUAUGUUGCUCAACAAAUGUCCCCCAACAAAUGUGGUACGCGUCUAGAGCGAAUCAUAUUUAUUAAAUGCUGUUUGACCUGUGGAUCUCUAGAUAUUUAUUCUAGAUGCACACUAGGGGUUUUCUCUUAGCAGUUUUCCGAGAGCUUAUUUUGAUGUCACAUUAAUUUUCUUUCUCUAUAGAUAUUUGGGUGUAUCAAUAGGUGUUUGACAUAUUAGGUUCAAUCAAAUAAGGACCCAUAGGAUAGUGAUAUAGCACUUUGUAAAUAGGUCCUUAUAUACUGCUUCGUAGUUUGACGUUGGUAGUUAUCAUUGUCAUCUCUUCAUCUUCUUUCAGCACCCCCUCUUACUUUAGUUUAUAACCUUUUUGCACGUGCUCAACAUUCUUCUUUACUGUAAUUACAUGUGGAUGUAAUAUAUCUGAUGUAUAGUUGCAGAUAUUGUUCAGAAUUUUUCUAAAUUUUGUAUACUCAUUAAUUAGCGAAACUUGGUUCCCUCAUGUACUGAUUGUAUCUUGAUGGUGGUCAUUCUCCAGCCAUUGCCAGCAGUAGUGAUCUAUUGAACCCUCAGCUACCUAAUUUGAGCAAUAGAAAGGGUAAAACAAGAAUAUUGAGGGAAGAAAGAUAUUCAUUUUAUCAAUUAGUAAAAAAUAACAACUCUUUAAAUUAAAAUUUUCUU